rnacentral:rRNA from 1 species
GACGAACGCUGGCGGCGUGCUUAACACAUGCAAGUCGAACGGAAAGGCCCUGCUUUUGUGGGGUGCUCGAGUGGCGAACAGGUGAGUAACACGUGAGUAACCUGCCCUUGACUUUGGGAUAACUUCAGGAAACUGGGGCUAAUACCGGAUAGGAGCUCCUGCUGCAUGGUGGGGGUUGGAAAGUUUCGGCGGUUGGGGAUGGACUCGCGGCUUAUCAGCUUGUUGGUGGGGUAGUGGCUUACCAAGGCUUUGACGGGUAGCCGGCCUGGGAGGGUGACCGGCCACAUUGGGACUGAGAUACGGCCCAGACUACUACGGGAGGCAGGAGUGGGGAAUAUUGCACAAUGGGCGGAAGCCUGAUGCAGCAACGCCGCGUGCGGGAUGACGGCCUUCGGGUUGGAAACCGCUUUCGCCUGUGACGAAGCGUGAGUGACGGUAAUGGGUAAAGAAGCACCGGCUAACUACGU